rnacentral:rRNA from 1 species
GACGAACGCUGGCGGCGUGCUUAACACAUGCAAGUCGAACGGAAAGGCCCUGCUUUUGUGGGGUGCUCGAGUGGCGAACGGGUGAGUAACACGUGAGUAACCUGCCCUUGACUUUGGGAUAACUUCAGGAAACUGGGGCUAAUACCGGAUAGGAGCUCCUGCUGCAUGGUGGGGGUUGGAAAGUUUCGGCGGUUGGGGAUGGACUCGCGGCUUAUCAGCUUGUUGGUGGGGUAGUGGCUUACCAAGGCUUUGACGCGUAGCCGGCCUGAGAGGGUGACCGGCCACACGGGAACUGAGACACGGACCAGACUCCUAAGGGAGGCAGCAGUGGGGAAUAUUGGACAAUGGGCGCAAGCAUGAUCCAGCCAUAGCGCGUGGGUGAAGAAGGCCUUCGGGGUGGAAAGCCCUUUUGUUGGGAAAGAAAAGCAGCAGGUUAAUACCCCGCGGGUCUGACGGUACCCAAAGAAUAAGCACCGGCUAACUUCGUG